AUUGAACGCUGGCGGCAUGCCUUACACAUGCAAGUCGAACGGUAACAGGUUAAGCUGACGAGUGGCGAACGGGUGAGUAAUAUAUCGGAACGUGCCCAGUUGUGGGGGAUAACUACUCGAAAGAGUGGCUAAUACCGCAUGAGACCUGAGGGUGAAACGGGGGAUCGCAAGACCUCGCGCAGUUGGAGCGGCCGAUAUCAGAUUAGCUAGUUGGCGGGGUAAAAGCCCACCAAGGCGACGAUCUGUAGCUGGUCUGAGAGGACGACCAGCCACACUGGGGCUGAGACACGGCCCAGACUCCUACGGGAGGCAGCAGUGGGGAAUUUUGGACAAUGGACGCAAGUCUGAUCCAGCCAUGCCGCGUGUGGGAAGAAGGCCUUCGGGUUGUAAACCACUUUUGUCAGGGAAGAAACGGCUCGGGUUAAUACCUUGGGCUAAUGACGGUACCUGAAGAAUAAGCACCGGCUAACUACGUG
rnacentral:rRNA from 1 species